rnacentral:rRNA from 1 species
AGAGUUUGAUCCUGGCUCAGAACGAACGUUAGCGGCGCGCUUAACACAUGCAAGUCGCACGAGAAAGGGCUUCGGCCCCAGUAAAGUGGCGCACGGGUGAGUAACACGUGGGUAAUCUUCCUCAGAGCGGGGGAUAACAUUCCGAAAGGAGUGCUAAUACCGCAUAAGACCACGUUCUCGAAAGAGGACGAGGUAAAAGC